AGUAGUCGGUUCGUGGGAUUCCAAGCAAGGAGGCAUGUUGGGCGACACAAUUGCAAUGGUGACCUUUGGAGGCGGAAUUUGAGCCAUGGAGGGGUUGGUGCUGGUGAUGCCCGCCAGAUGUUCGGUGAAAUGCCGAGCUGGCUGGGAGAUGGCUCAGGCAUUGUUCUUCGUGUCCAAGUGAGCCAAGUCCUUUAUCCGGUGACCGGCGAGGUGCUGUAUCAAGUUUACAACACCUAUGGAGCUGUGGCAGUGCAGCACUGGCAGCCUUUCAACGGGAACAGUGUCGACAUGACGCCCACCAAGUGUUCGACGCCGCUACCAAGCUGUGCCAUCACCAAGUCUGAUGCCGAGAGCAUUCCUACCACACUGGAACAUGUGUUCCUGACCACCAUGAAUCCAUCUACACCCUCAGCCGCAUCAGCAGCAGCGGUGCCACCGGUUUCCAUCAUCACGACCAAGGAGGGUGAGGCUGACAUGGGUAAGGUUGAGGACAAAUCAGAAAAUACCUUACAUGAUUUGUGUGUAGAGAUAAAGGAGAUGAUCAAUCAAAUGCUUGAGACAUGUCGCAAUAGUAAAGUGGAACCAAUUGUGGGCGAUGAUUCCGCCGGAGUGGCAGUAGUGCCAUGCACUGUCACUGAUUCAGUUUCCAUUGCACUAGAAACCAGUCAAGAAAUUGAUGCUGAUGUGGGUAACAACGACGACUUGGUUAGGGAAGAGGAUUGUGUGGAGAACACUGCAGUGGAGACCAAGUUGUAUCAUGUGUUAUCCUUCAGUGAUCAAUGGGUGGACCACAAGGAAAAGGCAAGCAGCGAAAGAGUGGUGGUGUUUAUGCCUCUCCAGCCAUGGCCACCUCCUUUUCGAGCCAAUUGCAAAAGUUCAUUUAUUGAACAGCAGCUAGAACCAUGGCCAUUUUUCCUAUGCAAUCAUAGUUUGAUCAAGUUGAAGCUUCCAUCUAAAGAGGAUAAAUUGAAUAUGUUGCCUGAACAACAAGGAGGCUGCAACCCAUGGGAAGAGUCACUAGAAAAUCUGAAGUUGCAAGGGGCAAAUACUCUGUCAAUAUUACAUCCUAAAAAGGUGGUAUUCCCAUGUCAGGAACUGGAGAUUCACAUUAUAUUAAUAGUGAGUUCAGUCCCCAAAGCUGCAAUAGAAGGGCUGCAAUUGUUGAGUGAACAAAUGUUACAGGAAGAGCAAUUGAAGUGUGAGGUUAAUGGAAUUAUUUUAUUCCACGAAUUCUUCCAACUCUUGAGUCAAGCACUUCUUUUCAUUGAGAGCUUGUUGCAAAAUCUAGUUCUGGGAUGGUACAGUUGUUAUAGCCAACAAUUCUCUAGUGCAUUUUGGAGUUUCUUUUGGCAUUUGCAGCAGGCAAUCAAUUGGUUAUCAUUGGAUGAUAAUGAGAAGCCCCAGUUCCUCAUACUAACAAUAUGGCCAAUACAUGAAAAAGGGGGUGGGUGUUUGUCCAACUGUGCCAAUGAAGGUCAUGAGGUCCAAAUAAUUCUGGUCAGUGGUGUGAGUUUGCAGGAAGUGCUGAAAACUGUAAUGUUAAAGGUUCCAUGGCAACCACCAACUUUGGCUAUUCAUGAAGGUGGAAAUUGGACUGAAAUUGAGUUGUGUAGUGGGCACAGUUCCAUAACUAAUCAUAUCUCUAGUGGAGUUUUCAGUGAGAUGGUUUUGAAGUCAUGGCCACCUGAGGGUGAGAAACCAAAUAACCAGUUAGGUGAGCAACAAUGGCUUUGCAACUCUAGGGAAGAUGUUGAUCGGAGUGCAGAAUUUGUUCAGUGCUGGAUUACUUUUGCUAGUGUCUUGGUGGAUAAUAUGGAGUUGCAAGGUACAGAUUAUUCUUUGUUCAUUCUAGGUCCUUUACAAGUGGUAGCAGUAGACCAAGAAUUGGUGAUUCAGAUUGAAAGGAUAGGAAAAUCAGCUUCCGAAACUGAAAGAAAGGGGCUGCAGUUGUUUGGUGAGCUACUAUUACAAGGAGAGCAACUAAAAUGUGGUGUUGUCAAGCUCAGUUGGUCCUAUUUCUCAAAUCAUUCAGUUGGAAAUACACUGAUUGUUGCGUUGCUUACGUAA
rnacentral:lncRNA from 1 species